rnacentral:lncRNA from 1 species
GGCGUGCAGGAGGGCGGCGGGGCGCCGGGCAUCGCUGUGCGCCCCCUCCCCCCGGCUCGGGGGGACACGGAGGGACACGGGGACGACCCCUCGGUGGGGGUCCAGGGCGGUUCUUGGGUUCUCCCUUCCCGCAGCAGCCGCGCCCCGGCUCGCCGCCCCGGGACAGGCGGCGCCCAGCCCCGCCGAGGACCGGCUGCCCUGCCCGGUUCAGCGGCACCGAAGGGCGAGCGGAGACCGGGCACGGCCUCGCCCAGCCGCGGGCUGGCACUUUUAUCCCCCCGCACGGUCAAAGUCUCCGAGCACGGCAGCAUCCUGCCUGCCUCCCCCGCUCAUCCCUCCCGCCGCCGCUACUCACCCACGCCGCAGCCGGCAACGGCGGCAGCGCCCCGCCGGCUCCCCGAGCCCCCUUGUCCCCUCUUCGCCCCCUCAGGGACCCUCCUGGACCCGCAGCGCUGCGGGCGGAGCCGCCGGAGCGAGCGGCGGCUGCACCUCGGAUGCCGGCUCCGGUCCCCACCCCGGGCUCCCUCCCCGGCUGUCACCGGCGGCCCGCCCUCGGGAGGCGGUGGCCCCGAGCCGAGCUCGCCAGUGGCGCCGGGCCCUGCCGCUCCCCGCAGCCCCGCCUCGGGCGGGCGGAGAGCCCCGGCACCGCCACACCGGGGAGCGGUGGUGGUCGUGGUGGUGGUGGUCGUGGAGGUGGUGGCGGGGAAGGGUGGCGGUGGUGGCGCAGAGGGGCGCGGGGCGGCGGCUGAGGGGAGCGGGUGGCUCUCGGUGGAUAAACGGGGGACCACGGACACGAGGCGGCUGCUCCGCGGGUCCUGCUGGGUUUUAGUCCCAGCUCUCUGGGCAGCGUUUGCCAGGGACCCCCAAAAGCCUCCUCCCACCCCCCGUCCCAAAGCGCGAUGUGCCCCCCGAAAUGUCCCCAGCCUGAGGGGAGCGGUGCCCGCCGAAGCCGUGCCAGCCCAGCUGGUCUCCCUUUUGGGACCCUUCUUGGCUUGCCACCCAAAUACAGGUGGGCCCCAACCCUCCAAGAGUACAGUGCUGAAAGGGAUUUAUCGAUUUAAUUUUUUUGUUAGGGGCUAUCGUUGCACAGAAUUAGAGCUGUCAGAUUAA